ACAGAGGGUGCGGGCGUUAAUCGGAAUUACUGGGCGUAAAGCGCACGUAGGUGGCGACGUAAGUCGGGUGUGAAAGCCCCGGGCUCAACCUGGGAAUUGCAUUCGAGACUGCAUUGCUGGAGUACGGAAGAGGAGGGCGGAAUUCCCGGUGUAGCGGUGAAAUGCGUAGAGAUGCGGAGGAACACCGAUGGCGAAGGCAGCCCCCUGGGCCGACACUGACGCUCAGGCACGAAAGCGUGGGGAGCAAACAGGA
rnacentral:rRNA from 1 species